rnacentral:lncRNA from 1 species
AUGUCCUAUGGUCAGAAGCUCUGUUGUACACGUCCUGGCAUCUCUGUCUCAUGGUCUGACAGCUUCUGGAAUGAUGUCACCGUACUGCACCUCUUUCAAAAAAGAAAUGAACAUAUCUUCAUCCCAAUCUCCACGAGACAGUCACAUAAAGAAGUAUUUGUAAGUGUGUCUGACUGCAGUGAAGAUACGGUGGACAGUAAUAAGGACCGUCCACAGCAUGGCUGCACAAAACAAGCAAACAACCAGCCAACCACAAUGAAGACAAUGAACAGCAAACAGAUUCCUUUUAUGCUUUCAUGGAGCUUGGUGAUCUAUUUUGUCAGUUGGGCUCCUGGAGAUACCCACGCUCUCAGAGUUUUACCUUCUAAUCCAAAAGGCAUAUCUACGUAUUAUAUUCAGCAAAGACAUUUUCCAACCUGAAAGAAAUUGUGUUGCCAUCUGUUAAUAUACAUAUAUAUAGUUAGUUAGUUAGUCUGGAUGUAUUACAAAUGAUGCAUGCUCUGACAGAAAAGUAGGAGGUUGGGAGGAACAACAGAGUAUAUAGUAUUAUUAGAACAGGGGACCAGAUUUAAUGAGAAAGCCAGGCAGUCUGGCUUCUCUGAGAAAGUAUGACAUUUCUGAAGACUGUUAGCCAGGUAAAAAGUGUGGGGGGAAGAGCAUUCCCAGCAGAACAGCAUGUGCAAAGGUCUGGAGAUGUGAAGGACUGUGGAGCACUGGAAAAACUGGGAAGUGGCAGCAUGGCCAGAUCCCAAAGGGCCAAAGAGAAAGAUGGGGAUGAGGGUGGAGAGGCCAGCGGGGGCCAGAUCAAGUGAAACUUUGUGGGCCACAUGACUCUCAUUUUUAGGUUCCUUUGUCUUCCCUAACAAAUGAAAUAACAACAUGAAUGAGUUUUUCUAAACGUUGAGUUUAUUGGUUUUUGAAACAGUCAUGCCAAAGCUGACAAGCUUGUACAGACACACAUCCACACAUACACCCAACUGUGCACGCGCGCACACACACGCACACACACACACACACGGUACAUAAAGCACCUUUCCCCAGGGCCAUGCUACUUGACAUUAUUAAGCAGUCUAUCCGAGGCCAGGUACCGUGGCUCACACUUGUAAUCCCAGCACUUUGGGAGGCUGAGGCAGGAAGAUCACGAGGUCAGGAGAUUGAGACCAGCCUGGCCAACAUGGUGAAACCCCGUCUCUACUAAAAAUACAAAAAUUAGCUGGGUGUGGUGGCACGUGCCUGUAUUCCCAGCUACUUGAGAGACUGAGGCAGAAGAAUUGAUUGAACCUGGGAGGCAGAAGUUGCAGUGAGCCAAGAUGAGAUGGCGCCACUCCACUCCAGCCUGGGUAACAGAGUGAGUCUGUUUGCUUCAAAAAAAAAAAGGUCUAUCCUAUAGCCAUACACAUGAUUCUGGGUCAGCCAGAUAAUUAAGCUGAAAAUUAUCUUCAUAUUCAUUUUCCCUCCACAGGAAUGUUUCCUGAGGAGAAACCCAAAAUAUGAGGGU